CACCGGUCCCGUACGAUCACCGAAGUUAAGCAACGUCGAGUCUGGUCAGUACCCAUAUGGGUUACCGCUUGGAAAUAUUAGGUGUUGUAAG